GUGGAAUCUGAUCAGUGAGGCCUUGUCAGUAAUGACCUAGUCAGUGAGGCCUUGUCAGUAAGGACCUGGUCCAUGAGGCCUUGCCAGUGAGGCCUUGUCAGUAAGGUCCUGGUCAGUGAGACCUUGUCAAUAAGGACCUUGUCAGUGAGGCCUUGUCAGUGGGGCCUUGUCAGUAAGGACCUGGUCAGUGAGGCCUUGUCAAUAAGGUCCUGGUCAGUGAGGACUUGUCAGUAAGGAGCUCAUCCAUGAGGCCUUGUCAGUGAGGCCUUGUCAAUAAGGUCCUGGUCAGUGAGGACUUGUUAGUAAGGACUUUGUCAGUGAGGCCUUGUCAGUGAGGCCUGGUCAGUAAGGACCUGGUCAGUGAGGCCUUGUCAGGGAGGCCUGGUCAGUAAGGUCCUGUUCAGUGAGGCCUUGUCUGUGAGGCCUUGUCAGCAAGGUCCUGGUCAGUGGAGUCAUGGUCAUUGUUGGCCUGGCAGCGGGGGUCUUGUUAGUGGGUCCUGGUGAUGGGGGUCUAAUCAGUGAGGGUGUGGUCAGGGAAGACCUGAUGUGUGGGGUCUGGUCAGCAGGAACCUGGUCAGUGGGGACUGCUGAGCGCUGCUUGGAGAAGCCAGGUGCAUUGCACGUUAUCGAGGGCCCUGUGGACAGCUGGGAUGGCCUAGUGAUGCCCAACGGC
rnacentral:lncRNA from 1 species